rnacentral:rRNA from 1 species
GACGUAGGGCGCGAGCGUUGUCCGGAUUUAUUGGGCGUAAAGAGCUCGUAGGCGGCUUGUCGCGUCGGCUGUGAAAACCCGCGGCUCAACUGUGGGCGGGCAGCUGAUACGGGCAGGCUGGAGUUCGGUAGGGGAGACUGGAAUUCCUGGUGUAGCGGUGAAAUGCGCAGAUAUCUGGAGGAACACCGGUGGCGAAGGCGGCAUCCUGGACCAAUAUUGACGCUGAGGAGCGAAAGCCAGGGGAGCAAACGGG